GAUGAACGCUGGCGGCGUGCCUAAUACAUGCAAGUCGAGCGAACGGACGAGAAGCUUGCUUCUCUGAUGUUAGCGGCGGACGGGUGAGUAACACGUGGAUAACCUACCUAUAAGACUGGGAUAACUUCGGGAAACCGGAGCUAAUACCGGAUAAUAUUUUGAACCGCAUGGUUCAAAAGUGAAAGACGGUCUUGCUGUCACUUAUAGAUGGAUCCGCGCUGCAUUAGCUAGUUGGUAAGGUAACGGCUUACCAAGGCAACGAUGCAUAGCCGAUCUGAGAGGGUGAUCGGCCACACUGGAACUGAGACGCGGUCCAGACUCCUACGGGAGGCAGCAGUAGGGAAUCUUCCGCAAUGGGCGAAAGCCUGACGGAGCAACGCCGCGUGAGUGAUGAAGGUCUUCGGAUCGUAAAACUCUGUUAUUAGGGAAGAACAUAUGUGUAAGUAACUGUGCACAUCUUGACGGUACCUAAUCAGAAAGCCACGGCUAACUACGUG
rnacentral:rRNA from 1 species